GCGCUGCUGACGUCAUCAUCCAACUCUGAACUUGUCUCAAAGUGAAUGUUUGUUGUUUUGAGUUUUUGAUUGUGACAGCGGUGUCGGAGUCCUGAGGAAAGGAAACCAAAUGACCACAGCUUUUCAAAUGGAAGGGAGUGGGACUCCUGUCUUCCCAGAUGGCAGAGAGAUUUCCCGCAUGACUCCACAUGCCGAAGUGUCCUUGGGCAAGACACUGAACCCAAAGUUGCUCCCAAUGGCUCGCUGUCGUAACGUCUUAAUAGAUGUAUGCACCCAUCACCAGUGGCUGCGGAGCAUUAGAAUGGAGACUCGGCGAUGCACCAUCUAUCAUAUGAACCCACUUUGUCCUGUGUCGCUUCAUACAGUAUCUGAUACCUUUGGGUUUGGCUUUUUAUACAUAUACUGUACUGUAUAUCCAUUUUUCCUUUGUAUUAUCGUGUGGUUUAUAAAGUAGAGCUUGUCAGAAUAGAGUGUAUAGCCUUUCGCAUUUGAAAUGAAAUUGUUACCAUUGUGUAAAUGUGUGCAUGUGUGCUUAUGAAGGGUGUGUUUGUCUCUUGGCACGUGUGUAUGUGUGUGCGUACAUCUUUAAGUGAUUGCGAGAGUCUGAUACGAUGCUGAUACAGUGGAAUGUAGUAUUUAUAGCUUUAUUGUGGAUAAGCCGGGCUGCUCUGAUGGUUCUUUUCCCCUCUGCUUGUUUCAUAAUGAGAUUCCUGCAUAGACGUAAUCUCAAUAAAUCAGUCCAACAUUAUUCAUUCAUAUCCUUUAUGUGUACAAGACAGGCCCAGAUCAUCAUUACAGCCACACAAUAUCAC
ensembl:lncRNA